rnacentral:tRNA from 1 species
UGGCUCAGUGGUAGAGUGUUUGCCUUGCAUGCAUGAGGCCCUGAGUUCAAUUCCUCAG